CAGCACGCACACCGGGGAGAAAUCGCACCACUGUGUCGUGUGUGGGGAAGGCUUCCACCGAAAGACCAACGUGAGGCUGCACAUGAAGAGUCACACCACUGCUAAAUGACCAUCUGUCAAUGAUCAUUACACACAGCGAAUGAAAUGAUGUGAGAGGUGCGGCUCAUCCUCAGGUUGCAGAUAGACAUUAUUACCAGCACUUUGUAUUUUCAUCAUCGUUGCAUCGCCUCAGUUUUUACAGUCGAACAUUUAGAAAACAGACUCCAGUCCGAGCAGGGACACUUCAGAGCUCUGAGUCCCUUCAUGUGUAAAACCAUCACACAUUUUUAUCAACAACUUUUCUAACUUGCUAUAUUCUCUCGUUACAUUUCUAUCAGAGUUUUAAUAAAUCACUUUCUGAAAUAAAGAUGUUUUUCUGGAGCUGAAGAUAGAAAAGGUUAACGAGUGUCUUGUCUCUGUUGAGGGCUUGCUCUGAUUGGUCGACAGUCAAGCGAUGAGUCAGGCUCCAGUUACGACAAAACAGGUUCAUACUCGCUUGGAUGUUCGCCACACCUUAAUUUUGUUGUGAACCAGUUGGCGACAACCUGCUGCGUCACAAACUCGAAGUGAAUAAAUAAGAGCUGCUCCCCAAAGGUUUUCAUCAGGACUCACACACUUUUCACUGUCGAACACUCAGAAUCACUCAUACUAACAUGGACGCCCCAGCCAGAGCCGCCGCAGCCACUGCCGCUGCCGCCAAAGCCGCAGCCGAAGCCACCGCCGACGCAGCCGCCAAAGCAGCAGCCGCCACCGCCGCCGCCGCAGCCGCCGCCGCCGCCCUUUAAUGAUCGUGGUCGUCUUGAUGUGGGAUCAUGUGAACAUCUGAGCAGCGAGAUGUUACCAAUCUGCUAAAUAAACCUUGAGAAGCUGUUUGUUGAAAACCAAGUGUCCUGUUCAUUUCAUCUCUGGGAGCAGAAACGCUCCUACACAUAAACCUCCAGAAAUCAUGACGCAUCACUCAGAAACUUGGGGUGGCACCCUUUUCACAUUGAAAUUUUUUCUAUAAGAUUUAAAGAAGGCUUCAAAAUAGGAAACUCAACCAAGCCGUUGUGUAAUAAUUAUUAUUAUAAUUUAAUUAUAAUUUUUACACGAGCCACGCAACAGACUUGAUGAGUUCAUUUAAACACUGAAGAUUAAUUUUAAGUAGAAAAUUCCUCCUGCCGAGAAAUUUCGAAUGGGUGCCUUACUAGCGGCCGGAUCCAAUGACAAAACAUUUUUUUGGGGGAAGAGAGACAGACUUUUGUCAAUUUGAGAAUGAGAGAGAGACAAAAUGUACCAGUUAGAGAGAGAGAGAGAGAGAGAGAGAGAGAGAGAGAGAGAGAGAGAGAGAGAGAGAGAGAGAGAGAGAGAGACUUUAUCAGUGGAUAGCGCUGUUGGGACAGUGUUUUGGCAAGACCAUGUUUAAUCAAAAGCCUGAAAACACAUGUUCCAUUGUUCUGGAAAAAGCCAGAGCACAGGGAACUCAGUCUCCCAGGAUUCCCAAACUUCACACAGAGGUCAGAAAAGCCACAAGGGUCGCUCCUAUUGGUCACUUUGGACCCCAUGCCCUGUGAGGUACCGGGGCAAUAUAAGGCCACUUCUCCCCCUCCUCUAUCUCUUUCUUCAAUCCGUCUGAGGGCAGAAGGAUGUCCAGCCUCUCUUCCUUCAUCGCAAAGAGGAGAAGCCUGAUUUCUCCAGGUCGUAUGUUCUCUUCGCAUCCAACUCUACGAGAGGAGCACAAAGGUGCAGCUUCCAGCUCAUCUCACCAAGGAAACCUCCUCGCAACUCAAGCUCUACCAAACUCCUAGAAGCGACAAUUAUACUAGGCUAAGCAAGACUGUUUAUUUGAUUUUGUGUGGUCUUUAUUAGUUUGAUUUGUGUUGUGAUGUUUUGGUUAUAAGUUAUUCGAAGUAAUGUUAGUUUGCUAGGCUCCUCAGAGUCUCUCUUUGCAUUUCAUUCUACAUCCUUUGUCUAACUUAGCAUCAACACAGACACACGCAUAUCUCUUCCUAAAUGUAUCUGUAUCUGUAUCUGUAUCUGUAGUUAUCGCCUCCCCCGCUACCCAUCAUAAAACCACUUCACAAGGA